UCGGUGACACUAGGUGAAUCUCGAUGUGCC
rnacentral:piRNA from 1 species